rnacentral:misc_RNA from 1 species
UAUCCGUAGGUGAACCUGCGGAAGGAUCAUUAAAGUUAUAGUCCCCCGGCCCUCUGGGCUGGGGCCCUCUAUACCACCCUUUGUUUAUUACACCUUUGUUGCUUUGGCAGCCCUACCCUCCGGCUGCUGGCUCCGGCCGGAUCGCGUCGGCCAGAGGACCUAAACUCUGUUUGUAUAUGAAGUCUGAGUACUAUAAAAUAGUUAAAACUUUCAACAACGGAUUUCUUGGUUCUG